ACCAAACUUCAGAAUAUAAAGAAGAAAAGAUACCUGACAACGCUUCUCAAAAUAACAAUGCAGUGGAUGGAAUUUCUGAAGACCGUACAAUCAGGAUUUCCAGCAACAUGGGUAUUGAUGAUUUACGACCUACAUCAUAUGGUGAAGACUUCAGUGUCAAUACCAAGGGUGUUCCACAACGAAGCUUAACAAACUUAAUUACUGCUUCUCAGAGAUCCAGGAAAAACUUAGAAGCAAAAUAUUGUACUGUGAGAACAGAUGAUGGAAUCGUGUUUGAGGACAAGAUCUGUGAUCAUCCAAAUGAAGAUGUGCUUGAAUCCUUUCCUACAACAUCAGCCAAAGUUCAGGGCUUUUCACA